GACGAACGCUGGCGGCGUGCUUAACACAUGCAAGUCGAACGGAAAGGCCCUGCUUUUGUGGGGUGCUCGAGUGGCGAACGGGUGAGUAACACGUGAGUAACCUGCCCUUGACUUUGGGAUAACUUCAGGAAACUGGGGCUAAUACCGGAUAGGAGCUCCUGCUGCAUGGUGGGGGUUGGAAAGUUUCGGCGGUUGGGGAUGGACUCGCGGCUUAUCAGCUUGUUGGUGGGGUAGUGGCUUACCAAGGCUUUGACGGGUAGCCGGCCUGAGAGGGUGACCGGCGACAUUGGGACUGAGAUACGGCCCAGACUCCUACGGGAGGCAGCAGUGGGGAAUAGUGCACAAUGGGAGGAAGCCUGAUGCAGCAACGCCGCGUGCGGGAUGACGGCCUUCGGGUUGUAAACCGCUUUCGCCUGUGACGAAGCGUGAGUGACGGUAAUGGGUAAAGAAGCACCGGCUAACUACGUG
rnacentral:rRNA from 1 species